rnacentral:rRNA from 1 species
UACGAAGGGGGCAAGCGUUGUUCGGAAUCACUGGGCGUAAAGCGUACGUAGGCGGACUGUUAAGUCAGGGGUGAAAUCCCGGAGCUCAACUCCGGAACUGCCUUUGAUACUGGCAAUCUUGAGGCUGGAAGAGGUUAGUGGAAUUCCCAGUGUAGAGGUGAAAUUCGUAGAUAUUGGGAAGAACACCAGUGGCGAAGGCGGCUAACUGGUCCAGAUCUGACGCUGAGGUGCGAAAGCGUGGGGAGCAAACAGG